AUGCCCUCUUUCUCUUCAAAUUCCUCGUGCCAAUUUCGAUGAAUCACCCUUAACAAAAAUUAUAUCCUUGUUUGCGACAUCACCGUCGUUGAUUGGAAGCUCUUACUGCAGCUUAAUCUUGCCACUUUCAAUAAGGCUUUGAAUCUUGAAUUUUAGUGCUGGGUAUUUAAAAGGGUCUUUCUAAACCUUAAUCGUCAUGCUCAAGAAAACCGUUGUUGGAGUUCUACCAGGUUUGAUUGUAGGUGCUUGCGAAAAUUGCAGGAAAGGAUGAGCUUGGUUCUUUUCCUUUUGGACCCCUAGGAAACUUAGGUAGAUUUCCUUCCAGAUGAACCAACCCCUCUAAAAAUACUGUUGAACGACUCAUGUUGCCUGACAAAAUCAUCGACACGGUUGCCCCAAGAAGACUAUUUCCACAUAUUCUGCUUUGCAC
rnacentral:lncRNA from 1 species